rnacentral:lncRNA from 1 species
CAAAAUUCAUUUUAAUCUUUAUUAUUCAUGACAGAGAUGUUUAUUUUAUUCAACCGCUAGCUUUAUGUAAAAAAAUCGCCAACAAGUAAUGUGUAAAUCCAAGUUGAAACAUAUUGAAUGAAAACAACAUUGACAAACAAUGGCUGCCAUUAAUAAAUAAACAGGAAGUGUGGGAAUAAACUAAAACCAGUUCAAAUCCGGAAACGGACAAGUAUAUAAUUCCGGGUUUGUCAAUCAAAUACAGUAAAUAAAAAAUGAAAAGAACCAAACAUGUGACAGCUAUCAUAGCAACACUAAAAUUGAAAACUAAAAGAUAUAUAAAAAAAGAAAAUAGAAACAGGAUAUAUUUUAUACAGAAC